AAGUGGGUUUCACCAUGUUGGCCAGGCUGGUCUCGAACUCCUGAUUUCAAGUGAUUGGACUCCCAAAGUGCUGGAAUUACAGGCAUAAGCCACCAUGCCUGGCCUCCCCUAAUUUGCUUCUUUAAACCUCUCUACAUCAUCACAAGAUGGGUGUUACUAUGAUCACUAUUUUACAGCUACCCAAGGUGCGAAAAAGAAAGAAGGCCAAAGGGAAGAAGGUGGUGCUGACCCUUGCGGUCUUGAAAAAGCAGGAGACCAUGAAAGUGGUGAAUCUUCCAUUUGAGAAAUUUGGCACUGGACAGGACAUUUUGGCAUUGGACAGAACAUCCAGCCCAAAAGGGACCUCACUUGCUUUGUCAAAUGGCCCCAUUAUACUAGGUUGCAGCAGCAGAGAGCCAUCCUCUAUAAGCAGCUAGAAGUGCCUUCUGUGAUUAGUCAGUUCACCAGGGCCUUGGACCACCAAACAGCUGCUCAAUGGGGUAAGCUGGCUGGCAAGUACAGACCAGAGACAAAGCAAGAGAAGCAGCAGAGACUGUUGGCCUGGGCUGAGAAGAAAGCAAAGGAGACAUCCCCACUGAGAGAUCACCUGUCCUUUUAAUGGGGGUUAACGCUGUCACCACCUUAGCGGAGAAAAAGAAGGAUCAGCUGGUGAUGACUGCACAGGACAGAGAUCCCAUUGAGUUGGUUGUCUUCCUGCCUGCCCUGUGUUGUAAACUGGGGGUUCCUUACUGCAUUAUCUAAUGGAAGGCAAGCUUGAGACAUCUAGGAUUAAAAAACAAACAAACAAACAACAACUCUUAAAAAUAUUCUUUUAAGGUCUCUGGUUUUCCUAGGCAGAGGACCCUGCGGCCUUCCGCAGUGUUUGUGUCCCUGAUUACUUGAGAUUAGGGAUUGGUGAUGACUCUUAACGAGCAUGCUGCCUUCAAGCAUCUGUUUAACAAAGCACAUCUUGCACCGCCCUUAAUCCAUUUAACCCUGAGUGGACACAGCACAUGUUUCAGAGAGCACAGGGUUGGGGGUAAGGUCACAGAUCAACAGGAUCCCAAGGCAGAGGAAUUUUUCUUAGUGCAGAACAAAAUGAAAAGUCUCCCAUGUCUACUUCUUUCUACACAGACACGGCAACCAUCCGAUUUCUCAAUCUUUUCCCCACCUUUCCCGCCUUUCUAUUCCACAAAGCCGCCAUUGUCAUCCUGGCCCGUUCUCAAUGAGCUGUUGGGCACACCUCCCAGACCGGGUGGUGGCCGGGCAGAGGGGCUCCUCACUUCCCAGUAGGGGCGGCCGGGCAGAGGCGCCCCUCACCUCCCGGACGGGGCGGCUGGCCGGGCGGGGGUGCUGACCCCCCCCACCUCCCUCCCGGACGGGGCGGCUGGCCGGGCGGGGGGCUGACACCCCCACCUCCCUCCCGGACGGGGCGGCUGGCCGGGCAGAGGGGCUCCUCACUUCCCAGUAGGGGCGGCCGGGCAGAGGCGCUUGUUUAUCUGCUGACCUUCCCUCCACUAUUGUCCCAUGACCCUGCCAAAUCCCCCUCUGUGAGAAACACCCAAGAAUUAUCAAUAAAAAAAUAAAAAAAAAAUAAAAAAAUGCAGUCUCUAAAUUUUGGGGGAGACUGAUUUCAGUAAUAAAACUCUAGUCUUCCAAAAAAAAAAAAAAAAUUCUUUUAAAACUUCUAAUUAUUAGGUUUUUUUUUUUAUCUCUUCAGUACAUCAAAAUGUCUGGUGGUAGGAAAAUACUGGACUCAUAUAUGACUGUCUACGUGAUUUGCAGGGCCCAGUGCAAAAUGAAGUGGAUGUUGUACCUCGUUCAAAGUGUUAAGCGUUUCAAGAUGGCAACAGCAGAGCAUUAGGCCAAGUAUGAGGUCAUUAUGUACAUGGGUCCUUGUGUGACCACAGAGGUCACAGGAACAUGAAGCUAGACCUGAGUGUAUAUUCAGAUAGGUAAAUCUUACAGAUUUUUAAAACUCAAUAAAAGAAAAACUACAUUUCAUGUGUGAACACAAAAAUUGGAAUUUAAUUGGCAAUAGCAUUGGGAUUUGUGCUCAGAGUCACAGUUUACAUCUGACCACAAUUUCUAUAUGAAUUUUUUAAGAUAAAACAGUAAGAAUUUUAAAGAAGGUUUCUGAAAUUUAAAAAUUAUAAUAACAUAAUUAACUUUGAUAUUUUAAUUCCAUGUAAUUUAAAACAUUUAACAGAUAUAUAAUGUUCCACUAUUAAUUUAACUAGAUGUAUAAAAAUAAAACAUAUAUAAUAAAAAUAUUCUACUUAUUUUUAAAUUAUCUAUAUUAUACUGAGUAAAAGAAAAUUUAGGAAUAUAAAUAAAUGAGCAUUUUUGAACAUGUAAAAAUAUUUUCUUGCUGUUUUUAGGAGACUUUUAGCAGGACAGGAGCUUACCUCUCAUCUACCUCUGCUUGGACAAACCAGUGAUGUGAUUUGCAAAUAGGCUGUAACUUCACCGAAAACACAUCACAGUAAAGAAAGGUAGUGACUUUCAGAGAAUUUGACCUAACUUAGAAUUUGUAAAAGAGAAAAGCAUUGUCCUUAUGCCUAAAGUACAUGACUGUUUCUUUUUAAGUUACAUGUAUAUUUACCUGACCAAUUUGUUUUACUCUGUAUUUUAAGUUAUCAGGUGAAAUGGUUUUGGAAUAAAUUAAUGAGUUGUUUCUUCUGAAUAAAUGUGCAUGUUACAAAUGCAAACACGUGUAUGUAUUAUACAACUAUGCAGCUUCAAGAGCUGACUUAUUUCUAUCAGCUUUUUAUUCCCUUAAAAAAAUCAGGCUACUGAAGCAUAUUAGAAUUUAAUUACACCAAUUAGUACUGCCACAUCAGACAUAUGAUGUGCCUUCAAUUAAGAAGUACCUAAUGGGUAUUAGUACAAUUUAGCUUCAUAAUUAAAGUUCUAAGAACAGCACAAAUUAAACAUUAUGAUUACAAAACAUUAAAAAUCUACUGGUGAAAUUAAAGCUGAAUAUUUAACUUCUCCUUUUGAGCUGAUUUUAAAAAAGAAAAUCAGGAUUAUAUAAAAUGCAAUGUUAUUAUUGAAGCAUUCUGAAUUUAAAAACAGAAAUUAAGCUCACAUGCCCAUAAAUAUGUGCAUAUAUAAUGAUUAAAUAUUUAGUAAAAUACCCAACCUAACACUUGUGCCACCUAAUAAGCAUUAAAGGUUAUCAUUUUGGAGUUUCACUUG
rnacentral:lncRNA from 1 species